rnacentral:rRNA from 1 species
AGUGAACGCUGGCGGUAGGCCUAACACGCAAGUCGAACGGCAGCACAGGAGAGCUUGCUCUCUGGGUGGCGAGUGGCGGACGGGUGAGGAAUACAUCGGAAUCUACUCUGUCGUGGGGGAUAACGUAGGGAAACUUACGCUAAUACCGCAUACGACCUACGGGUGAAAGCAGGGGACCUUCGGGCCUUGCGCGAUUGAAUGAGCCGAUGUCGGAUUAGCUAGUUGGCGGGGUAAAGGCCCACCAAGGCGACGAUCCGUAGCUGGUCUGAGAGGAUGAUCAGCCACACUGGAACUGAGACACGGUCCAGACUCCUACGGGAGGCAGCAGUGGGGAAUAUUGGACAAUGGGCGCAAGCUUGAUCCAGCCAUACCGCGUGGGUGAAGAAGGCCUUCGGGUUGUAAAGCCCUUUUGUUGGGAAAGAAAUCCAGCUGGCUAAUACCCGGUUGGGAUGACGGUACCCAAAGAAUAAGCACCGGCUAACUUCGUGCCAGCAGCCGCGGUAA